AUCUCAUCAAGGAAGCUCUGCAAUGUUCCCUGGGCAGAAUCAGGGCAAAAAAAUAUAAGGUGAGAAAAGCAUUAAUAUUUGGGAUCAGAAUACACAUGCACAUACAUGUAUAAACAUUGAUGGAAAGACUAUUAGAUUUGGAAUCAGAGAGUGUGUGUUCAAAUGUGAACAAUGCAUAUCUCUGUGACCUUGGAAAAUGCCUAACUUUCUGGGCUUUGUUUUCUUGAGAGAGGUUGGACUGGGUAAUUUCUAAGGUCAUUUUUAGCUUUAAAUAGUUUGAUAUGCUGAUACAAUGAAUAAAAUAUCUCAUGCUCCAAGGAAGAUUUUAUAUUAAAUAAAAAUAUUCAGGAGUUAUUCAGCUUAUAAAUGUUCAUCUCUUUCAUAUUUUUAAAUAAAGAAGAAAUGUUAAUGAGUACCCACCCAGGAGAACACCUUUAAAAUACUUUCCCUUAGAAUUCAGUUAUAUUAUAAGCAGUUUUGAGACUUGAGAGAAGAUGUUAAUGAAGAAUAAUAGAGUGAUGUGUUCUAUUCUUUCUCCAUUUCUCUCCAUCCCCCUCCCUUUUUUCCUAAAGCACAAAAGUUGCUUGGUGCUUUACUGACCUUUGAAAUUGUGUGAAACACAAAAAGUAAACAAAUCCCAAUUCUAUCAUUUCCAUUUCUUUUUUGUUUGUUUGUUUGUUUUUGAACUAUGGAAGAAGAGUGAUAACAAAGACUAUUUAUUACUUUAGAGCAAUUUCCAGUUCCUGGGUCCCCGGAUCCCUGAAGAGAUCUGAUGGGCUGCUCUUGGGGGGCAUCUGCAUGUAGCCCGUGCUUCAAGAGAAUUCAGCUUUUUAUUGUCAAUUUGAAUGAAAGGGAAUUACCUUUUCUGCCUCAGUGCUGUUGGAGAAGAAUCUCUGAUGUGUCUACUUGUGCCAUGUCAAAGUCAGCAUCUUCCAAGGAAUCCUGGUAGCUGUGGAAGAUUUUAAUUGAAGGCCUGAGCUUCUAGAUGAAGGAUAAGAGUUUAAAGAGCCAUUUUGAAAAAUGGGGCACACUUACAAAUUUCAUGGCCAUGAGGGCUCCAAAUAUCACAUAUUCCUAGGACUUCAGUUUUAUUCCCUAUGCCACAGUGGUAGAUGCAGCCAUGAAUGUAAAACCUCACAAAGUUGAUUGCAGAGUUGUUAAACCAAAGAGAGGACUCUCAAAAGCCACAUAUCCACAUAACUGAAAAAAAGAUCUUUGUGGAUGGCAUUAGGGAAGAUACUGAGGAGCAUCAAUUAAAAAGAUUACUUUGAACCAUAUAGAAAAAUUGAAGUGAUUGAAAUUGUGACUUGAAAUAGAGAUGUAAACUGAAUAAAUUGUUACUGCAUCAAUGACUGCUGUUCUCU
rnacentral:lncRNA from 1 species